GGGGUAGUGGCGCAAUUGGUAGACGCAGCCGACUUGGACUCGGCUGGCGCGAAAGCGCCUUGGGGGUUCGAGUCCCCUCUACCCCA
rnacentral:tRNA from 1 species